UUCUAAGAGACCCACUGUUGUUAAUGGCA
rnacentral:piRNA from 1 species